rnacentral:rRNA from 1 species
CCCGUGAGGUGUCGGGUUAAGUCCCAUAACGAGCGCAACCCUUAUCGUUAGUUGCCAGCGGGUAAAGCCGGGAACUCGUAGCGAAACUGCCGGUGUAAACCGAGAGGAAGUGGGGAUGACGUCAAAUCAGCACGGCCCUUAUGUCCAGGGCUACACACGUGUUACAAUGGCCGGUACAGAGGGCAGCUACCUGGAGACAGGAUGCGAAUCUCGAAAGCCGGUCUCAGUUCGGAUCGGAGUCUGCAACUCGACUCCGUGAAGCUGGAUUCGCUAGUAAUCGCGCAUCAGCCAUGGCGCGGUGAAUACGUUCCCGGGCCUU